AUUCUAAUCUCUGGGUGCAGUCUCUAUACUCUCCUCUAUGGCCACUUCACUGCAACAGUAAUGAGAUGAAUUUAAGAAAGACCCUGAGAGCACCUGUUAUGUGUGAUUCUUAUAAAAAUAUCAAGUCUCUGGAACCACCUCUGGGCUUUCUGACCCAGUAGAUCUACAGUUGAAUUUAGGAAUGUGCCUGUUUAGUUAACAUCCUGUGAUGCUUCAUAAUAGAUGGGACAUUUCAAAGAAACUGACCUAAAAAUUCUGGGGGGAAAUGUCUAUUUACUCAGUAGUGUGAAGCCAGGAGUUGCCCUGCUGCUAUGGGCCUUUCUAUACCCUUCCCAGUUCUCAAAUAAUGACAGGGAGACUGUAUUUAUUUGUAAGUUUUUGGCCUUAUACUUAGGCAUUAUUUCCAGCUAGCUUGUAAUUCGAUUAUCCCAUUUAUACUAAUCUACAUCUUUCACGUGGCUGCUCCCUCUCCUCGGUUUGAUACAAGCAACUUCUUCCAAGUCCCCAUAGUGAAUCUCCCACCUCUGACUCUCUCCCAGACUUCCUCUCUGUGUCUGGAAUUACUACCUUACUAUUCUGCCUUUUGCUAUAGGUCAUAGGCUUUUUAUUUUAACCAUCCAGAACAUGCCUUAGUCAGGAAAGGCAGGAUAGAGACACGGUGUACAGAAAUAUCACUCCAAAAUUGUCCAACCCAUUAAUAGAGCCUUGGAUUCUCAUCGGAGUAAAGUUUAGCUUCUUAGGGUCUUCUUUGAUAUGCACCACAGUUUGAGCUUGGUUAUGUCGUCUUGCUCCAGAUAGAAAUGGAAUAGAAGCGUUGAGCUCCUGUUGGGUGUGGUAUGAAAAAUCAAAGCUGAGGCUGCUUCUGGCCUGAGUGCCUUUGUAGUGGUAGCAGUCAGGCUCAGAAGUCAGGCUCAGGCUUCUCUCUUGCGGCUCUCACUUCACUGUGACCCAGCAGUGUCAGCAGUGGGCCCCCCAGAAGAACCAUUCCUCCUUCCCAAGCCUCCCAUUCUCCCUCUGCUCCCUCCCUCCACAGUCUCAAGUGAGAGCUGUGACGCGGAGAAAGUGCUUGAACCCUAAUCAUAGUACUUAGUGGGACUGUGACCUCAGGCCAUUGCCUUGCUUUUCCAGUCUCCAUCCCCUCAACUCUAAAUAAGGAUGGCAUUCGUAACUCGCAGCAUUUCUGUGAUGAAGAAGCAAUGUGGCAGGAUGCAGGGUGCUCCAUAUGAGCUGCUGUGUUGUAUCUGCUGUUCGGACCAUGAUAAAAUCCGAUCUUCUGGAAGUUGCCUAUUAAUGAUGCACUUUUGGUGUCAGAGUGAGGGGCCAAAUUUUAGAUUGACAACAAACAAACAAAAACAAGACAGACAAAACAAACAAACAAACAGAAACAGCUUUUAGAUUUUUGCUAAAUUACAGUAAGCUCUUUUUGUGCUAUGGGAUAUGUACCAAGACCCUGGUAGGGCCCUGAAACCACAAAUAGCACCAAACCCUACAGGUUCCACGUUCUUCCUUAUAGUCUACUACCUACAUAGAUAGAAGAAAGUUCUGUUUGCACAUUAAGUAAAAUAAGAAGUGAAUUCUGAAAGAAUACUGUAAGAGACUCAGUAAACUCAUUAUUUGAGGAAUUAUUCACUUACUGUGCUUCAAAUAUGGCUGUAUGUGCUGCUGAAAUUGCAAAAUGUUCAAGAAGAGAAAACUAUGGUGUUAGCUUCUAAAUAACAGUGGUAAUAUUUAAUUGUGCAAUUGAGCUCUCUUCUUUUGGAAUUUCCUUUUGAAAUAACCAAUACAGAUAUGGACACAUAGACAG
rnacentral:lncRNA from 1 species